rnacentral:rRNA from 1 species
CAGCCGCCGCGGUAAUACGUAGGUGGCAAGCGUUGUCCGGAAUUAUUGGGCGUAAAGGGCUCGCAGGCGGUUUCUUAAGUCUGAUGUGAAAGCCCCCGGCUCAACCGGGGAGGGUCAUUGGAAACUGGGAAACUUGAGUGCAGAAGAGGAGAGUGGAAUUCCACGUGUAGCGGUGAAAUGCGUAGAGAUGUGGAGGAACACCAGUGGCGAAGGCGACUCUCUGGUCUGUAACUGACGCUGAGGAGCGAAAGCGUGGGAGCAAACAGGAUUAGAUACCCCCGUAGUCCCUGUCUCUUAUACA